rnacentral:rRNA from 1 species
UGGGGAAUUUUGGACAAUGGGCGCAAGCCUGAUCCAGCCAUGCCGCGUGCGGGAAGAAGGCCUUCGGGUUGUAAACCGCUUUUGUCAGGGAAGAAAUCUUCUGAGUUAAUACCUCGGGAGGAUGACGGUACCUGAAGAAUAAGCACCGGCUAACUACGUGCCAGCAGCCGCGGUAAUACGUAGGGUGCAAGCGUUAAUCGGAAUUACUGGGCGUAAAGCGUGCGCAGGCGGUUUUGUAAGACAGAGGUGAAAUCCCCGGGCUCAACCUGGGAACUGCCUUUGUGACUGCAAGGCUUGAGUGCGGCAGAGGGGGAUGGAAUUCCGCGUGUAGCAGUGAAAUGCGUAGAUAUGCGGAGGAACACCGAUGGCGAAGGCAAUCCCCUGGGCCUGCACUGACGCUCAUGCACGAAAAGCGUGGGGAGCAAACAGGAUUAGAUACCCUGGUAGUCCACGCCCUAAAACGAUGUCAACUGGUUGUUGGGAAGGUUCCUUCUCAGUAAACGUAGCUAACGCGUGAAGUUGACCGCCUGGGGAGUACGGCCGCAAA